rnacentral:rRNA from 1 species
CCUACGGGUGGCAGCAGUGGGGAAUAUUGCACAAUGGGGGAAACCCUGAUGCAGCAACGCCGCGUGAGUGAAGAAGUCCUUCGGUAUGUAAAGCCCUAUCAGCAGGGAAGAAGAAAGCCGGUACCUGACUACGAAGCCCCGGCCAACUACGUGCCAGCAGCCGCGGUCAUUCGUAGGGGGCAAGCGUUAUCCGGAUUUACUGGGUGUAAAGGGAGCGUAGACGGCUGUGCAAGUCUGGAGUGAAAGCCCGUGGCUUAACCGCGGAACUGCUUUGGAAACUGUGUAGCUUGAGUACGGGAAGGGCAGGCGGAAUGCGUGGUGUAGCGGUGAAAUGCGUAGAUAUUAGGAGGAACACCAGUGGCGAAGGCGGCCUGCUGGACAGAAACUGACGUUGAGGCUCGAAAGCGUGGGGAGCGAACAGGAUUAGAUACCCUAGUAGUC